GUGACCUAACUCCUCCGUCCUCUAAUCCAGUGAGCUACUGGAUGAAGUAGGAAGGAUUCCAGCAGCAAACGAUCCUACUUCCAACAGUGAUAAAACGGCUGUGAGUUUCAGGAUCUUGACGCGAGACGAGUAUCACGGAGUCAGAUUUGGAUCACUUUAUUGGAGG